rnacentral:rRNA from 1 species
GAUGAACGCUGGCGGCGUGCCUAAUACAUGCAAGUCGUACGGCAGCAUGCCCUUCGGGGUGAUGGCGAGCGGCGGACGGCUGAGUAACGCGUGGGAACGUGCCCCAAAGUGAGGGAUAACUGCUCGAAAGAGUAGCUAAUACCGCAUAUGGUCUUCGGAUUAAAGCUUCGGCGCUUUGGGAGCGGCCCGCGUCUGAUUAGAUAGUUGGUAGGGUAAUGGCCUACCAAGUCGACGAUCAGUAGCUGGUCUGAGAGGAUGAUCAGCCAGACUGGAACUGAGACACGGUCCAGACUCCUACGGGAGGCAGCAGUAAGGAAUCUUCCACAAUGGGGGCAACCCUGAUGGAGCAACGCCGCGUGAAGGAUGAAGGCCUUAGGGUUGUAAACUUCUUUUGUUAGCGAAGAAUAUAACGGUAACUAACGAAUAAGGGUCGGCUAACUACGUGCCAGCCGCCGCAGUAA